rnacentral:lncRNA from 1 species
CUUUGGUAAACAGGAGCUGUGUGGAUUUAUAUAGUCCUUAGAGAUUCUUUUUUAGUUGGCUUAACUUCUGUUUAUAUCUUUUCCCAGUCCAAGAUAUGCCUAAAAUGGUUAUUUUGGAGUUGAUGAUCUUCUCCACAGUAAAACCUGUUGAUAGACUUCUGAGUUUUGGGAUCCCCAGCCAGUCUAGCCUGACCCCCUUAUUUUGAAGCAGCUGAGGGAAAGUGCGUCGCCUCAGAUCUCAGGACUUGGAGUCAGCCAGUCAACUCUAGGUCCCCUGUCAUGAUUCAUGCUGAUGUUAGGUGGAUUUGCAUUCUCUGUCGAACUGGAUCUCUUGCUCAAAACUGACCCUGAGCCUAACCUUCUUUCCCCACUUACACAGCCAUUGUCACCAUCGCACCACUACUAUCAUCAUCACCACCACCAUCAUCACACCACCACCACCACCAUCAUCACUAUCAUCAUCACACCACCACCACCACCAUCAUCACUAUCAUCAUCACACCAUCACCACCACCAUCAUCACACCACCACCACCACCAUCAUCACUAUCAUCAUCAUCACCACACCACCACCAUCACCACCACCACCAUCACACCACCACCACCACUGUCGUCAUCACUAUCAUCAUCAUCACACCACCACCACCAUCAUCACACCACCACCACCACCACCGUCGUCAUCACUAUCAUCAUCAUCAUCACACCGCCACCAUCACCACCACCACCAUCACACCACCACCACCACCACCACCGUCACCAUCACUAUCAUCAUCAUCACACCACCACCACCACCACCAUCAUCACACCACCACCGCCACCGUCGUCAUCACUAUCAUCAUCAUCAUCACACCACCACCAUCACCACCACCAUCACACCACCACCACCACUACUGUCAUCACUAUCAUCAUCAUCACACCACCACCAUCACCAUCAUCACACCACCACCACCAUCACCAUCACCAUCAUCACACCACCACCACCAUCACACCACCACCACCAUCAUUAUCAUCACCAUCAUCACACCACCACCACCACCAUCACCAUCACCAUCAUCACACCACCACCACCAUUACCAUCACCAUCAUCACACCACCACCACCACCAUUACCAUCACCAUCAUCACACCACCACCAUCACCAUCAUCACACCACCACCACCAUCACCAUCAUCACACCACCACCAUCAUUACCAUCACCAUCAUCACACCACCACCACCACCAUUACCAUCAUCACACCACCACCAUCAUCACACCACCACCACCAUCAUAUACCAUCACCAUCAACACACCACCACCACCAUCAUAUACCAUCACCAUCAUCACACCGCCACCACCAUCAUUACCAUCACCAUCAUCACACCACCACCACCAACAUUACCAUCACCAUCAUCACACCACCACCACCACCAUUACCAUCACCAUCAUCACACUACCACCACCAUUACCAUCACCAUCAUCACACUACCACCAUCAUUACCAUCACCAUCAUCACACCACCACCACCAACAUUACCAUCACCAUCAUCACGCCACCACCACCACCAUUACCAUCACCACCAUCACACCACCACCACCACCAUCACCAUCAUCACACCACCACCACCACCAUCACCAUCAUCACACCACCACCACCACCAUUACCAUCACCAUCAUUACACCACCCCCACCAUUACCAUCACCAUCAUCACACCACCACCACCACCAUUACCAUCACCAUCAUCACACCCCCACCAUCAUUACCAUCACCAUCAUUACACCACCACCAUCAGUACACCACCACCACCAUUACCAUCACCAUCAUCACAUCACCACCACCAUCACACCAUCACUAUAAUUACCACCACCAUUAUCACAUCACCACCAUUAUCAUCACCAUCAUCAACAUCAUACCACCACCAUCAUCAUCACAUCCUCUUCCUUGAUGUCUUAUCUCCAUGGCGUGUACACUGGAUGUAGAAUAUAGUCUUGCUGGGUACUACGGGAGCUGUAUCUCAGUAGAAGGAAUGAAGACUAGCUCUUGAUAAGCUGAAAAUCCCUUAAUAGCCUACAUUCUAAAUACGCAUAUUCAUUGUACCAGGGGUUUCUAACCUUGCUUUGAUGAUAUCCUAGUGUCACUGUCUCAAAACCAAAUUAAUUUUGGACUUGAGUAUUUAGCGUUGGGAGAAGGAGUAGGAUUGUAUAUUAUUAUAACCAACAUUGAUGUGCUUUUGAAUUCCAAAAGGACGUUUUAUUUCUUUUUAUUUUUUCUAGAGACAGGGUCUUGCUGUGUCACCCAGGCUGGAGUGCAGUGGCAAGACCAUAGCUCACUGCAGGCUCCAACUCCUGGGCUCAAGUGAUUCUCCUGCCUCAGCUUCCCAAGUAGCUGGGACUACAGAGGUGUGCCACCAUGUCCAGCUAAUUUUUCUAUUUUUUAUUUUGUAGAGAUGGGGUCUUGCUAUGUUGCCCAGGCUGGUCUUGAACUCCUGGCAUCAAGUGAUCCUCUCACCUUGGCCUCCCAAAGUGCUGGGAUUAUAGGCAUGAGUCACUGUGCCCAGCCCCAGAAGGUUUUAAAGUUCUAACUGACACAAUAUUGGUAGGGGUCUAUGUGAGAAGCAGGCAUAUCUACAAACCUGAGCUCCAACAGGGUCUUUCAUCAUGGUUUCAUUAAAAAUUAGCUCCUGGCAGGAGACUAGUUGAGUUUCUGAACCACGAUGACCAGGCCUAGGGUGCUGGCUUUUCAGAGAACCAUCCCCCUACUCCCCAGGUGCCGGCUGGGCUCCCACCACCUCCAGGAAACCUUUCGUAAGAACACAGGGCCCAUGAAUCACUCCCUCCUCUGGUUUCCUAUGGUACAUCAAAUGAGGACCACUUGCUCAGCACUUCCGAUAUACCAUGCACUACGCUCGGUGCAGCACAAGUUGUAAAAGUCUCCUACUUUUACAACUCUUUGAGCCAGGCAGUAUUGUUAUUUCCAUUUUCUAGAUGUGAACACUGAGGCUCAAUGAGGUCAAUAGUCCAGAUACAGAUGGCUAGAAAGUCAGUGAAGGAGCUGACUAGAUUUCUGUCUGUUUUCCCCUUCCUCCCUCCACCCCGGUAUCCUGCUCAUAAACCCAAUGGUGGGUGAGUGAAUAAUGUCAAGACGCAGGUGAAAGUGACUUGGUUAUGUCUCUCUUUGCACAGAGAGCACACUGCCUUCUGUGUCAGGUGUGAGCCCCUGCACUCUCCCUGGGGUCUGAAGGCUGAGGCGUGUGGCCAGAAGCUUCUACACAGGCCUAUCCCAGAGUGUGGGGACCAUGUUGGUCUCACGUGCAUGAGAGCACACGCAUGUGACUUCUACCUUCAAGCACCUCCCAGAGAGUAAGUGAGAGAGAUGACCAGGUGCAUAACAAGCAUUUGGUCAGAGCAGGAUGAUGGGGUGGGAAGAAGGGCUCAAGUCCCACCUACACAUCAACUGUGUGCCCCUGGGAAGGGCCUUCACUUCAGGAACCUCAGUUUGCAAGUCUGCAAAGUGGAGCUAAUGAUCCUUGUCCUCACUUCCUCCUGGGCUUGUUGUUAAGGCUCCUUGCAUUUUGGAAUCUUUAAAGUGCUUGGAAAAGGUAGGGAAUCCAUCUAAUUAAGGAGGAGGAGAAACAAAAGCCACCAGAGGAAUCAGGUUUCUGGUAUCCAAUUUAAUCCAAUCCAUAGGAAAACAGCCCAAGGGUGCCCCAUCGUUUGCCACCCCUAAUGAGGAAACAAUCCAGUCCUCUGAUAGGUGGAGUCGUUCAUCUCUGCAGUAAAAAGCUAAUGCUUAGUCUAGCUUUAUUCAUCCUUUUUGGCACAUAGGGUAUAUACGGUAUGGCUCCAUGGAGCCAACCAGGAGCCUCUGCCUGGUGGAAUGAUCUGUGUGCCAGGCUGGAAGAGACAGACACUCUGUUUGACCAACAAAUGUAUAGAAAAUAGUGGCCAGUAAGUAGCAAUUACGUAAUAAUCUUAUCCAAAGAAAAUGUGGGCUCAAAUUAAGAUGAUUUCACCGGGAAAACAUUAAGGUAUACAAAGAGUUCUUAAUAAAUAGAAAUAAAUAGUGCAGGGUUUGCGCCAUGGUGAUUUUCGAUGGUUAUCUGCCCUCGCCGCUGCUGCUCCAGCUGCAUCUUCCGCGGGGCUCAGCGCAGCAUUUUGCUCUACAAAAACAACUAGCUCCUUUCCAGCCAAUGAUUACUUGUAAUUAUGCUUUCCCCUGCUAUUAUUCUAAUAGACCUGUCAUGUUGCUCGGAGGACUCUGGCAUUUGGAAUAUACGACGGCUUUUAUGGAUGGACUGCUGGAACACUUAAUAUAGCUCUAUUUUUGAAUUAUCAAGUUCUAUCCUUUUGAAGUCUGUGUUAGUGGAACUCCUAUUUAUGAGAUGUGCUGUGCUUAAAGGUUUGCUAUUGAUGAAGAGGUCCAACAGAGCCUUUAUCGUAAGUACGGCAGCAUUCUCCCUGAGAGAUAAAUAGCCGUGCUAAAAGGUAUGCUGUGUACCUAGGCUGCAAAUUACUAGCCAAGUACCUCAUAACAGUAUACUUCAAAAAUACCUUUAUGCUUCUUGUUUGUUCUCUUUUCCAUAGAGAUGAAUGACAUUUCUUAAAACACAGAGGGGUGGAAGUGUGUUGGUCAUUGCUGGUCAUCGACAUUAAUUGGGUUUGAGGAACAUGUUUGUUCUGGCACAGGGUGUCUGAGUAGAUGCACGAAUGUGGCUUACAUCUCCUGUGCUUGCUGUUGUGAGAAUUUGCUUUUCUUUAUGUUCCCUUAACCUAAAGGUGGACUAAGUUGGAUUCAAGCACUUUUUGCAUGGGAAAGAGGGUUUAUGAAAAAGCAUAAUUCAGGCAGUGGUACCUGUUCUGGAGAAUUCCAAGAGCACCACUGGGGGCAGAGCAAGGGCCCGCAGCUUAAGGCUGGUGUGGGCAAAGAGUGGGUGCGAUGUUCUCCAUCCAGCAGGCAGAGGUCUUAGAAAGGGGAGGCCUGAUACAGAAGCUGGCAUGAAGAGUGGUCCCCAAAGCUCUUAUUAUCUGAGCAAUUUGAUAGACACUAAGUCAGGUCAGAGUUUUCUUUAGCAGCUCAACCAGCUUGUUUUUUUGUGGGCCCAAAGGUGGAGGCCCUGUUGGACGGUACAGGCACUGUUUUUGGCCCUGGGCAGCAAUCAUAUGGAAAGACACAUUGUGUGGUUGGAUUGUGAGUAGGAAUUUGGGGAAAUGUGUGUCUCCCUUAUGUUAUACAGAAAUGUAUUCAAGAGACUCCAAGCUGCCAGCAAGCAUCCCAGAAGCAGACAUAACUCCCUUGGCAGCCAACAUUGCAAACAGAGGCAGGACUAUGGAGCAGCUUUUGACUAGGUGGCAAGAAUUUAUAUCCAUUCCCCAAAGAAGGAAGAAGAGCCCAAGGACCGUAGCAAGGCCCUGAUUCUGGGAGACGAGAGAACACGCUGACUUAGAAUGCUUGUCUCUGCAUCCUGGUCAGAAAGUAGAUGGACGACACUUUCAUCUCCGACUGGAUUUUGGUGAGAGAUGGGCAAACCCCGGGCUCUAGGCUGGAGCAGCAGCUCUUGUAUCCACACAAAAUCAGGACUGGUGGAGGGAGCCAUCUUCAAACAUAAAUUUGCGUCUUUUGGCAAUGCACUCCUUGGGUUUGGAAGCUUCCCUCCAAGAUGCUGAGCCCAAUGUUUGGGGAAAGCCAGGGAAACAGAUGCUGGGUCAGUGCUGCUCCCACCUCCUCUGCUCCCCUCCUGAGGGCUCCACUGAGUCACCAGCCAGCAAACAGCCCAUGCGCCCUGGAGCAGAUGGACUGUGGGUACACGAGCCUCUGAACUCUUGGGCAGCAUGGGCACAACAUCCUUUUGGCCUCACCCAAUGACCUGGCUGACACAGCAUUUGUCUCCUCCAGAGGAUACAGCACCAAGGCGCCAUCUUGGAAGUAGACUGGAGCUCUUAGCAGACCAGAACCUGUGGGCCUCCUAAGACGAUGUUGCUGGAUGUCCCCUGCUGACCCCACAGACUGGCUCCUCUGGUGUCCGCUGACUUGGCCUGGUGAGAAGGGCAGGGCCAGGCCCUUCCCUGUCUCGACCUGCAUUCCCACCCAACACAGC